AGCAACUUCCCUUGAAGUAGUUAAUUUUCUGGAAAACUAGUUAUCCCGGUAGCUUUCAGGGAGGCUAAUUCAACGUGCUAAAUUCAUUAAGACAAACGUCACUAUACUGUAUUUACUGGAUUCAUUUUUUUGUAUAGUCUAACAUACUUAACUCUACUGUCUGUCAGUGUACCUUAAAAUCCAUGAAAACAAUGCCAAGCAAUCAGCAUGUUUUGAAGUGGAUGGUAUCCAUGUAGACGAAUGUGCUCCGCUUCAAAAAGAAGAGCAGAAGCAGGUUGUAGAAUGGCAGCACAUUGCUCAGCCUGCUUUUGGUUUUUUGUCAUUUUCCUGUAGAUUCUUCCAGCUGAUUGCAUUCAGGAGUCCUAGCAGCCUCUGAUUUGGGUGAUGCAAAUAUUGCCUUUGUAAUACAUAAUGCCUUCUUUUUAGAAACUGGAUCACAUCAGUCAAAUGUGUGUUUUUAGGUUUUUGGUAUUUAUUUUUUUUUACAGUACUUUAAAGAGAAGCUUGUGCACAUUUUUUUUCAUAUGAUGGCAAUUGAAAAUUUUAUUCAUGAUAUAUUUUUAUGUAUUUCCCCUUAAACAACAUUUUUUCUCCCAAUUUCUGUCAAAGAAGAAUAUAUUAAACUGAUGGAAGAACAGUAAAAUGGAAAGCAGAUGUUCAAAAACCAUCCUAGACUGUGUUAAUCCAGUAUUUCUUACUUCGGGACUGGAGUAAAUAUCCUUGGGUCCUCUAAAUAACAAAUAGAAAACGUCCUUCUCUCUCCAUCCCUGCCCAAAGAAAUUCAGACUGAAAUGUUGUGUAAUUGUAAUUCAGGCAAGAGGAAUUCAUUUUUUUUAUAAUGGCUCAUUUCGUAUUUUCCUGUGCUCUUUGUAUAGAAAUACAGAACCUGCCAGUUUUUACUCUUUAAUUGAAUUCAGUAAUACUAAUUCACUUAAUGAAAAAUUCAUUAAGUUGAAUUGAUAACGCAUUAUUGAUAACGCAUAGAUCUUAUUACAGGGUAAAAUAAUCCAUGUUUCUUAUUGCAUCCAGUUUUGUUUCGUAGAAGCCUGGCAGAAAACCUUUCCACAUGUAAUAUAAAAGUAAUAUAUAAAACAAAUAGGAGAGGAAACACAGCAGUGUUGCUUUUAAAAUAAAUUUAAAACUGUAUAUUAUGCAUAGAUAAUUCCACAGUGGUUAUGUUAGAAUAAAACCUCCAGACCCCAGUGAUUCCAUUUUGCUCGAUGCUUGCUAUUAAUGCUUGCAUUACUAAUGUUCACAGCUCUUUUUCCUUUGCUCUCCCCAUUCCCCUGAGUAUUAAUUUAUUGAAUGCAAGUUUGACAGUUCUAGUAACUAAUAAUUAGCAGUGUAAAGUCUAUUUGUGAAAGUUAAUGUUAAAGCAGUGUAUGUUGUUGAGGGUAACAGUGCUGGAGGAAUAUAUUCUGCUUACAGCCAGGAGAUCAUCUGGUCACUUGUGUAAGUGAGAGCCACAGAAAACUGUAUGAAGCUUUUCUUCUAUUUUUUCACCCCAAUGUACCUCUCAACUGCAGUGCCCUGAGUGCUACAUUUGUGCCAUGGGCUCUCCCAUUUUUUUUGGUUGUUUUCUUAGAUUGUGUGUUUUGUGGUAUGAUUCUCAUACCAUCAAUUUUGAUGCUGCUUAUGCUCACUACUAAGACUUAAUGUUUGCAGGAACUGUACAUGACUGUGUGUUUGUCUUAAGCAAAAGGAGUUUUUGAUCACUUGAGGAAACUGAGGAGUUUGGACAGGACUUAAACUCUUCUUGCUGCCUCUUCGUAGUUGAAUGGUAGUGUCAGUAGGAUUGAUAGAGCAUCACGUGGUAAUUAUCAGCUGAAAAACUUUACUGGUUGUAUAAAUUCCUACGUUUAUAUCAAGAACACAGUGUGCAACUCAAUCUUUUUUACAAAAGGAGGAAAAAAUUCUAGUUCUUUUCUACUACUGUUGCAUUAGGUUAAAAAGCUCCGUUAAUGGUUAGCUUACGUACUUGAAAUGCUCAUUUCUGCCAUACAGAAGCCCAGACUGUUUCUCACAAAGUGUAUUCCAUUUGGAAGCCAUCUGGAGAGUUCCAGAAGGCCAUUCCUGCAUCCAUUUGGAGCUAAUACCAACAUUCAUAGUGACUUUCUUAGGCUUAAUGUGUUUGCCCUCAAGUUUGUAAGCUAAGGGAAUGAUUCUGAAAGUUGCAUUUUUGAAGUCUUUGGAACUAAAAUUCAGUCGUAGAGUCAUGGACUCACAGAAUUGUUUGAGAUUAAAGGGACCUUUGAAGAUCAUUUAGCCCAACUCUCCUGCAUUGAACAGGGACAUGUCAUCCUCUGUUAUCAGUAAAAAUAAUAAUAAUAAUAAUAUAAUGUUAGCACUGUUAACAGUUUGGCAAACCAGCAAAAUUCUGGCAGCUAUAGACCUGAGAGUAUUCUUGGACAAAUUGCAAUGAGUUCAGCUGCAGUGGUUAGAGGGCUUCCACCUCCAGAGCAAUCAGUAGAAACUGUGUAUUUAAUCACCUCCCUCUCCCUGCUGGCCACUGUUAGCAUAACUUCCUGUAUUAGCUGAAGUAAAUUUUGUGUAGGACUAUGUCUCAUUGUGGCUGUGCUCAGUUAUGUGAUGUGAAGGUUGAGAAAAGCUGUUUGAAGCUGCUUGGUCUUGUUUUUCCUGAGAGGGAGAAUACGUGUGCUGACAGUAAGGACAAGUUGGGGUCUUAGCACCAUUUUCAGGAAUAUCAAAGCUUCUUCUUUUGGACAAUUUCUUGAGUGCUUACAGUGAGCACAUAGAUGUGAAGCUGCUCACCUGGAAGGUUUCCAGUGGCCAAGGUGCCAUUUCUGUGCCUUGAAAUAGGCAUUUGGACUAUACUGCUUAACCAGACUUCAUUGGAUUUUGC
ensembl:lncRNA